AUCGAACGCUGGCGGCAGGCCUAAUACAUGCAAGUCGAACGGGUGGCGGACUGGUGGGUAGUGGCUUGGCACCUGCCCGACGGAGGGGGCUAACUACUGGAAACCGUAGCUAAUACUGCUUACGAUCGGUUGUGCUCAGAGGGGAUUAGCUAGUCGGUGGGGUAACGGCUCACCUAGGCGACGAUCCAUAGCUGGUCUGAGAGGAUGACCAGCCACACUGGAACGGAGACACGGUCCAGACUCCUACGGGAGGCAGCAGUGGGGAAUAUUGGGCAAUGGGCGAAAGCCUGAUGGAGCCAUGCCGCGUGAAUGAAGAAGGCCUUCGGAUUGUAAAGUACUUUCGUUGGGGAAGCGUUAUCCACAGAAAAAGCACCGGCUAACUCCGUGCCAGCAGCCGCGGUAAUAC
rnacentral:rRNA from 1 species